CGUAUAACAAUCGAAACCGCAUGGUUUUGAUUUGAAAGGCGCUUUCGGGUGUCGCUGAUGGAUGGACCCGCGGUGCAUUAGCUAGUUGGUGAGGUAACGGCUCACCAAGGCCACGAUGCAUAGCCAACCUGAGAGGGUGAUCGGCCACAUUGGGACUGAGACACGGCCCAAACUCCUACGGGAGGCAGCAGUAGGGAAUCUUCGGCAAUGGACGAAAGUCUGACCGAGCAACGCCGCGUGAGUGAAGAAGGUUUUCGGAUCGUAAAACUCUGUUGUUAGAGAAGAACAAGGAUGAGAGUAACUGUUCAUCCCUUGACGGUAUCUAACCAGAAAGCCACGGCUAACUACGUGCCAGCAGCCGCGGUAAUACGUAGGUGGCAAGCGUUGUCCGGAUUUAUUGGGCGUAAAGCGAGCGCAGGCGGUUUCUUAAGUCUGAUGUGAAAGCCCCCGGCUCAACCGGGGAGGGUCAUUGGAAACUGGGAGACUUGAGUGCAGAAGAGGAGAGUGGAAUUCCAUGUGUAGCGGUGAAAUGCGUAGAUAUAUGGAGGAACACCAGUGGCGAAGGCGGCUCUCUGGUCUGUAACUGACGCUAAGGCUCGAAAGCGUGGGGAGCAAACAGGAUUAGAUACCCUGGUAGUCCACGCCGUAAACGAUGAGUGCUAAGUGUUGGAGGGUUUCCGCCCUUCAGUGCUGCAGCUAACGCAUUAAGCACUCCGCCUGGGGAGUACGACCGCAAGGUUGAAACUCAAAGGAAUUGACGGGGGCCCGCACAAGCGGUGGAGCAUGUGGUUUAAUUCGAAGCAACGCGAAGAACCUUACCAGGUCUUGACAUCCUUUGACCACUCUAGAGAUAGAGCUUCCCCUUCGGGGGCAAAUGACAGGUGGUGCAUGGUUGUCGUCACCUCCUGUCCUGAAAUGUUGGGUUAAUUCCCGCAACGAGCGCCACCCUUAUUGUUAUUUGCCAUCAUUCAUUUGGCCCUCUAGCCAGACUGCCGGUGACAACCGGAGAAAGGUGGGGAUGACUUCAAUCAUCAGCCCCUUAUAACUGGG
rnacentral:rRNA from 1 species